rnacentral:ncRNA from 2 species
AGGGUUCCCGGUGGAGUCGAUCGCACCCGAGUUUCGGGUCAGGGAAUCCGGUCAAAGUCCGGGGCUGGCGCGCAGCGGUAGGGACACGAGAGACGAGGACGACCACUGGGCACACGCCUGGGAAGGCCGUCCUCAAGCGAAGGUGUCCGAGCCCGAAGACCUGUCGACUCUGCCCGCGGAAC